UAGUGAUUAGGUUUGAUCCUGGCUCAGAAUCAACGCUGGCGGCGUGCCUCAGACAUGCAAGUCGAACGAGAAAGUCCCCUUCGGGGGAUAAGUAAAGUGGCGCACGGGUGAGUAACACGUAGGUAAUCUACCUUCGGGUGGGGAAUAACCCAGGGAAACUUGGGCUAACACCGCAUAAUGCAGCGGCACCACAUGGUGACAGUUGUUAAAGCGGGGGAUCUUCGGACCUCGCGCCUGAAGAGGAGCCUGCGGCGGAUUAGCUAGUUGGUGAGGUAACGGCUCACCAAGGUGACGAUCCGUAGCCGGCCUGAGAGGGCGGUCGGCCACACUGACACUGACAUACGGGUCAGACUCCUACGGGAGGCAGCAGUCGGGAAUUUUGGGCAAUGGGCGAAAGCCUGACCCAGCAACGCCGCGUGAAGGAUGAAAUCCCUCGGGAUGUAAACUUCGCAAGAAUGGGAAGAAUUAGCGAGCGCUAAUACCGCUCGUGAUGACGGUACCAUUUGUAAGCUCCGGCUAACUCCGUGCCAGCAGCCGCGGUAAUACGGGGGGAGCAAGCGUUGUUCGGAUUUACUGGGCGUAAAGGGCGCGUAGGCGGCCAGCGCAAGUCAGUUGUGAAAUCUCCGGGCUUAACUCGGAAAGGUCAACUGAUACUGCGCGGCUAGAGUGCGGAAGGGGCAACUGGAAUUCUCGGUGUAGCGGUGAAAUGCGUAGAUAUCGAGAGGAACACCUGCGGCGAAGGCGGGUUGCUGGGCCGACACUGACGCUGAGGCGCGAAAGCCAGGGGAGCGAACGGGAUUAGAUACCCCGGUAGUCCUGGCCUUAAACGAUGGAUGCUUGGUGUCUGGGGUUUUAUAGUCCCCGGGUGCCGCAGCUAACGCGUUAAGCAUCCCGCCUGGGGAGUACGGUCGCAAGGUUAAAACUCAAAGGAAUUGACGGGGGCCCGCACAAGCGGUGGAGCAUGUGGUUCAAUUCGACGCAACGCGAAGAACCUUACCCAGGCUUGACAUCCUCUGAAAGMKRWUGGAAACAAAGUCCUCAUAGCAAUAUGACAGGGAGACAGGUGCUGCAUGGCUGUCGUCAGCUCGCGUCGUAAGAUGUUGGGUUAAGUCCCGCAACGAGCGCAACCCUAUAA
rnacentral:rRNA from 1 species